GCCCUUGUAACCCAACUGGAAGAGGUAUUUGUCUUAGAAACAAAAAGUUGUGGGUUCAAAUCCCACUGAGGGCACCA
rnacentral:tRNA from 1 species